AACAGGAUUAGAUACCCUGGUAGUCCACGCCGUAAACGAUGAGUGCUAGGUGUCGGGGGGAGACCCUCGGUGCCGGAGCAAACGCAAUAAGCACUCCACCUGGGGAGUACGGCCGCAAGGUUGAAACUCAGAGGAAUUGACGGGGGCCCGCACAAGCGGUGGAGCAUGUGGUUUAAUUCGAAGCAACGCGAAGAACCUUACCAAGGCUUGACAUCCUUCUGACCGCGCUAGAGAUAGCGCUUCCCUUCGGGGCAGAAGUGACAGGUGGUGCAUGGUUGUCGUCAGCUCGUGUCGUGAGAUGUUGGGUUAAGUCCCGCAACGAGCGCAACCCUUAUUUUUAGUAGCCAGCGGUUAGGCCGGGCACACUAGAGAGACUGCCGUGGAUAACACGGAGGAAGGUGGGGACGACGUCAAAUCAUCAUGCCCCUUAUGUCUUGGGCUACACACGUGCUACAAUGGCGUAUACAAAGAGAAGCGAGAGGGCGACCUGGAGCAAACCUCAAAAAGUACGUCACAGUUCGGAUUGCAGGCUGCAACUCGCCUGCAUGAAGCUGGAAUCGCUAGUAAUCGCGAAUCAGAAUGUCGCGGUGAAUACGUUCCCGGGCCUUGUACACACCGCCCGUCACACCAUGGGAGUUGGUAGCGCCCAACGUACGUGACCUAACCGUAAGGAAGGAGCGUCCUAAGGCGAGAUCAGCGACUGGGGUGAAGUCGUAACAAGGUAACC
rnacentral:rRNA from 1 species